rnacentral:misc_RNA from 1 species
GUGAAUCAUCGAAUUUUUGAACGCAAAUCGCACUCUCCUCGGAGAGUAUGCCUGUUUGAGGGUCAGCCUAUAAAAAAUCGACAUCGUUGCUGUUUCGCGGUGGCGUUCGUCGGAAAUUGGGUUAUCUUAAAUCCUUUUGGGUUUUAAGCGACUUAAAAUUUUCUUUUUGGUUCCAUGAACGUUUCUAAGAUUUAUUUCUUUACACGUUUAGGGUAUCGAUUUUUAUUAGACGUGACCCUCAGAUCGGAUCGCGUCCAUAAUCUUUCAUUAACGUACCUCAGACAGGUAAUGGUACCCGCUU